CCGUCCCAUCCACUGCGGAGGGUCGGGCUGUGGCCCUCAUGGGUCCCCGGCCCGCCCCGCCCACAGCGCCCUCCGUUUCCCGCACCGGCAGUUCACGGGAGAUUCGAAUCCAAGCCAUAUUCCCUAGUACCUCCGACUGUCUCCCACCAGGGAAAGCAGAAAUCAGGUGUGUUGUCUAUUUAUUUCUCUAUGUAAAUAUUGUAUUUCUGCGGGGAAGUUUUAUGGAAAAAAGUGGAAAAGGGUUUUGCCCCAUCCGCGUGACAAGGUGUGUGAGAGCGUGUAUGUGUGUGCGCGUGUGUGGCGAUUUUUGUCCUGGGGUUUCCUUUGGAAUUGCACUGUUUUCCUCAGCCCAGCUGGGUUCCAACGGGGGCACCUGGGACGACAGAGGCAGCUCGGGGCAGCGCGUAGAGGCCAUGGGAGGGUCAGGUGGGACCCUGGGCGGCAUCCUCUGAUCUCUUGGGGGGACGACCGUGUAAGAUGAAAGUCAGUCAAGUUUAUUUGCUUUCAGUGCAUCUCCUAGAAAAGAAGUGUUGGAGCAGGGGGUGGUGAUGAGGGGCCCGUGGGGAAAGGAUUCAAGAGGUAAAACCCAGACCAGGGAGUGUGACAGCAGCCGUGAGCAUCUCACCUCUGUUCAAAACAAGACAAAGACGAACAAACAUUUUAAAGUAUUGAUAAGAAAAAGCAACGUUUGGAUUGUAUUUCCUGAAUCAUAUUCCGACUUAUAUCUGAUAUCUGUUUCUGGGGCCAGUUGAUCUGAGGGCAAGGAGUCUGGCCUCCAUCCAGAGCAGGGAGGGGCUGGCCCCUCGCCCCCCUCACCCUUGCCACCCUGGCACACUCGGGAAGCAGGCCCCAGCUCUGAGCCUCUCCUCACCCCUGGGUGUCCUAGUUAGGACCCUGGGGUCCUAACUUUCCUGAAAGUAGCAGGUGCCGCGUGAAGGGGCAGCUUGGCCAGGUUCCUGAACUGGGCAGGGCUCGGGGCCUAUGAGGGCAGGUUCACCAUCCCGCCAGAUUCUCUCCUCACCCCCAAGCAGAGUGCAUGCAAAAGACACCCCUUUUCCCACCCACCUUAUUGGUGCCCCCAAAUCCCUGGCCUGCUUGGUAGAUGGUGGUGAGGCCAGGCCAGCAGUGCUGUGGCCAGGAGAGAAGAAAACAAAAUGCAGGCUGUGCCCCAGGGCCCACCCCAAGCAGGGGAAGGGCCCUUCCUGGGCCCCCUUUUCCACCAGCCAAAUCUGCCUGGCCCUUGGACCCCUCUGCCUUCCCCAACCCCUUUGGAGGUUUCUCGGCCUUUUCUGUGCCACUUGGUGGGGCAGAUGGCCUGAUAGGCUAGUGCUUGGGGCAUAGAAUAAGGGUCCCCCUGACCACCUGAGCCCGCAUCCUGGCCCCAGGUGCAAGAAGCACCCCUCGGGGGCUCUGCCCCACUAUCCCCGGAGAAUUCACACCCCUCCCCUUCUCCCACAGCCAAGGACAGACAGGGCUGCCUAGACCUGAGCCCGACAGCCUUCAGCCUCAGAAACGCAUGGGGGGCCACACACUCUUCGUGUCCUCCCACACCAAGGUUCCCCUGGCUCCACGGGAGUUUCAGGAAAGCCCCCAAGUUAGCCGCUGCUCUAGGACGAGCUCUGUGUCACCCACACCACAGGCCUCUGAAGCAGGGUGCUGGUGGGUGCCCUGCACCCCAAUCCCAGGUCCCCUUGGCCCCCUUAUUUUUCUCGGGCCCAUUGGGGCCUGUUUCUCACCUGCUGGCUGGACCCCCUGAAGGGCCGUUCCCAGAGGCUCCCCAGGAAGCUCAAGGCUGGGGGCUUAUGUUGUGGUUGGGGGUCCCUGCCCCCAGCCCUCCGCUCCCGCCCACGAGCCUACCCUUUGUCUCGCACGAGUGCAAUAUUUCAUUCCCGGUGGUUGUCUGGGGAGGUGGUUGGACGAGGUCCUGCUUGAGGCUCGGGGAUCAGAACGAUGUCAAGUGAAGAAAAAUGCACGGGGGCGCGCUGAGCCACUGGAGUUCCAGAGAGGGCUGAGGAGGGCGUGGCCACGGAGGUUGGAUCCUCUGCUCCACUGCCUCGUCCUCGUCCUGCUUCUGCUGGGUUCCGCUUUGUCCCUGGUUUUCUCUUUUCUUUCUGUGUGCGUGCGAAUGGUGUGGCCCCUCCCCUCUCACCGUGGUUAACGUGACGAAGGCACGAUUCCUGUAAAUGUGUAAACUAAGGGGAUGGUUGGAUUUUUUUUCAAUGUAAACACUAAAAACAAAAUGGACAAAAAAACACACAAAGGUUUUAUGAACAGCAGACUCUAUGUAAAGGCAUUUUAGUAUCAAAUUUUUUAUUGAUAACUUGCUUAAGAAUAAAUAUAUGGACUAUUGUACAGGU